UACAGAGGUCUCAAGCGUUGUUCGGAUUCAUUGGGCGUAAAGCGCGCGUAGGCGGCCCCGAUAAGUCCGCUGUAAAAGUCAACGGCUCAACUGUUGAAAGCCGGUGGAUACUGUCGGGCUAGAGUACGGAAGAGGCAAGUGGAAUUCCUGGUGUAGCGGUGGAAUGCGCAGAUAUCAGGAGGAACACCUAUAGCGAAGGCAGCUUGCUGGGACGUUACUGACGCUAAGGCGCGAAAGCGUGGGGAGCGAACAGG
rnacentral:rRNA from 1 species